rnacentral:lncRNA from 1 species
AGUGUGUCCUGCCUGGCAAUUUUACUACUAUACGUAAAUUCACCACAUCGGAAAAAUCCAAAAAAAGCUAGAAUAAAUGAGCACUUUAACAUUAAGUCGACGAAUGGAGAAAAAACUCCUUGCUUUAACAUACAGCACAAUUGUUUCAAAAUUUGAGCUGUAAUAGGUAAUCUCUUUUGUUUAACAUUAUUCUGAGACUUUUU